rnacentral:rRNA from 1 species
GAAUAUUGGUCAAUGGCCUAACGGCUGAACCAGCAACUUGGAAGAAUGAAUGGCAAUAGCCAAUUGUAUUAAUAAUAUUUUUUACAAUAUCGACUCUGUCGAAUAAAAUUCCAGAUAAAUUUAUGAUGAUGACAUUAUUUAUCUGUGAGUCUUGACUAAAUUACGUGCCAGCAGUCGCGGUAAGACGUAGAAGACUAGUGUUAUUCAUCUUUAAUAGGUUUAAAGUGUACCCAGGCGGUUGAUAUAGCCUAAACAAGGUACUAUGUUUAACUAGAGUUAUAUAUGUAAUGGCGCAAGAAGGUACUGUUGAGUGUAGAGAUGAAAUUCUGUCAUACCAGAUGAGUGGCACAGGUAUAGGCGAAAGCAUCGCUUUAUGUAAUAACUGACGUUGGCGGACGAAGGCUUAAAUAACGAACAGGAUUAGGUACCCCAGUAGUCUUUGCAGAUAAUGAUGAAUGUCAUAGGUUAAAAUAAUAUUUUGUCUAUAAAUGAAAGUGUAAGCAUUCCACCUCAAGAGUAAUUUGGCAACAUUGGAAUUGAAAUCAUUAGACCGUUUCUGAAACCAGUAGUGAAGUAUGUUGUUUAAUUAGACGACCCGCAAAAAACCUUACCACAAUUUGAAUAUUAAUAAUAAUUUUUACAAGCGUUGCACGGCUGUCUUCAGUUAAUAUCGUGAGAUUUUGGUUAGUUCCAUAUAAUUAACGUAAACCCUUACUUUAUUUUUAAAUAAAGUAGUUCACCGCUAUAUUGGAUAUGAUAAUAGGGACUAAGACAAGUCAUCAUGGCCUUAAUAUUGUGGGCUAUAGACG